rnacentral:rRNA from 1 species
AUUGAACGCUGGCGGAAUGCUUUACACAUGCAAGUCGAACGGCAGCACGGACUUCGGUCUGGUGGCGAGUGGCRAACGGGUGAGUAACAUAUCGGAACGUAUCCAAUAAUGGGGGAUAACUAAUCGAAAGGUUGGCUAAUACCGCAUACGCCCUACGGGGGAAAGCUAGGGACCUUCGGGCCUGGCGUUAAUGGAGCGGCCGAUAUCUGAUUAGCUAGUUGGUGGGGUAAAGGCCCACCAAGGCGACGAUCAGUAGCUGGUCUGAGAGGACGACCAGCCACACUGGAACUGAGACACGGUCCAGACUCCUACGGGAGGCAGCAGUGGGGAAUUUGGGACAAUGGGCGCAAGCCUGAUCCAGCCAUUCCGCGUGAGUGAAGAAGGCCUUCGGGUUGUAAAGCUCUUUCGCAAGGGAAGAAAACUUAGCCACUAACAUUGGCUGAGGUUGACGGUACCUUGAUAAGAAGCACCGGCUAACUACGUGCCAGCAGCCGCGGUAAUACGUAGGGUGCGAGCGUUAAUCGGAAUUACUGGGCGUAAAGCGUGCGCAGGCGGCCUUGAAAGUCAGAUGUGAAAUCCCCGAGCUCAACUUGGGAACUGCGUUUGAAACUCCAAGGCUAGAAUAUGUCAGAGGGGGGUAGAAUUCCACGU